AUUAUAAAGUUCAAGUUUAUAUUAAAGUUAAAGAUUCUAAUAUUAAAGACGAUACCGUGAUGGAUCGGUUUCGAUUAAAGAAUUAGAAUUCGGGUGUAUUGAUAACCCUCUUCCCUUGCCUUAAUUAUAUUUUAUAAGUAAUAUAUAUACAUGUAUAUGUUAUGUUCAUGCAUUAUUAAAGUGGUGGUUAUUACGAACCAAUACAACCCUUGGUAGAUGCUAUAUACAUGUAUAUAUAUGUGUGGUGUUAAACACGUCAAAUGUUACGUUUUUGUUCUCCUCACGAGAGAAACAGAAACAGAACAAUAACUAGACACAAAAACAUCAAAAGGGUUAGUGAUCUUCUCCAUCAAAGAUCACGUGAAAGGAACAAGGUCAAAGGGGAGAAGAAAUCAACUGGUGAAUUGAUUCCAUUACAAGCCUAAUUAAGCAAUGGAUCAAGGAUUUGCGCCGCUACGUGGAAUCUUCCGGAGACUAGGGUCUAUUUGAUCGAAUGAAUUCAUUUUGGGGCGAUUCCGAAAUACUCGAGAAGAUGAUGACCCGACUAGUAUCGCAGAUUUGGGAGCGGGUCGACCCGAUAAAGCUAAAAUAACAAGAGUUAAUAGCACAAUAGCGACAAGUUUCAAAGCUUCUUUCAUGGCGGCUGUGAGCUAGUUAGCUUGUUUCGAUGUUGUUGUGAAGAUAAGUCUUUAGGGUUUAAUUAUGGUAAGAUUUCAAGAGAUAUUUAUACAAGCAUAUACUUAACUUAAUACUUUAUUGUAUUUGUAUACAAUUUUCUCUUGAGCUUAUACAUUUCAUCAUUAAUAUUUUAUUAUGAUCUUACGAAUUGUCUAAA